GUGCCAGCCGCCGCGGUAAUACCAGCUCCGCUAGUGGUCGGGGUGCUUACUGGGCCUAAAGCGCCCGUAGCCGGCCCGGUAAGUCGUCCCUGAAAUCCACGGGCUCAAUCCCGUGGGCUGGGGACGAUACUGCCGGGCUUGGGGGCGGGAGAGGCCGAGGGUACUCCCGGGGUAGGGGCGAAAUCCGAUAAUCCCGGGAGGACCACCAGUGGCGAAGGCGCUCGGCUGGAACGCGCCCGACGGUGAGGGGCGAAAGCUGGGGGAGCAAAGGGGAUUAGAUACCCCUGUAGUCCCAGCUGUAAACGAUGCGGGCUAGCUGUUGGGCGGGCUUAGAGCCCGCCCAGUGGCGGAGGGAAGCCGUUAAGCCCGCCGCCUGGGGAGUACGGCCGCAAGGCUGAAACUUAAAGGAAUUGGCGGGGGGGCACCACAAGGGGUGAAGCUUGCGGCUUAAUUGGAGUCAACGCCGGAAACCUUACCCGGGGCGACAGCAGGAUGAUGGCCAGGCUAACGACCUUGCCGGACGAGCUGAGAGGAGGUGCAUGGCCGUCGUCAGCUCGUGCCGUGAGGUGUCCGGUUAAGUCCGGCAACGAGCGAGACCCCCACCCCUAGUUGCUACCCGAUCCUUCGGGAUCGGGGGCACACUAGGGGGACUGCCGCCGCUAAGGCGGAGGAAGGAGGGGGCCACGGCAGGUCAGCAUGCCCCUAAACCCCCGGGCUGCACGCGGGCUACAAUGGCGGGGACAGCGGGAUCCGACCCCGAAAGGGGGAGGCAAUCCCUGAAACCCCGCCGUAGUUGGGAUCGAGGGCUGAAACUCGCCCCCGUGAACCUGGAAUCCCUAGUAACCGCGCGUCACCAUCGCGCGGUGAAUACGUCCCUGCCCUCUGUACACACCGCCCGUC
rnacentral:rRNA from 1 species